GUCCAGCUGUCGAGUCUCAAGUAAGACAAGACGCGCGUCCUGGAU
rfam:Schistosoma margrebowiei strain Zambia genome assembly, scaffold: SMRZ_scaffold0001427